CAUUGCUGGAGAAAUACUAUACAGAAACACGUUUACACACUCCUGGCCAUUGUACAAAACGGGUUAUUUUCUGGCGCAAUUAAAAAUCAAUUAACCCGCAUCAGCAAUUAAAACAUAUCUUAUGUGGUACUGUCAAAAUUAAAAUUGCAAAAAACAUUUUAAACAUGAAAAAAUAAAGAAAUAAAAUAUCUGAACUCACAUUUCAUCGACAGCUGAGCUAGCUUCCGGGGUUGGCACGACAUAAUCUCACAAGAUGUAGUUUCUCAUUAAAUAUCCUUCUUGAAAAUGGCCUUGUAAAUAUAUGUUGUCUUGUCUAACCAUAAAAUAUGCAGACGAGGCGUGCUGGCUGAGUGCUUAAAGUUUACUCUGUAGCGUGCUCAUCAAAAACAUCCCACUGCCGGUGUUGUACCGAAAUCUGUUACCCAUCGGAAUUUGUAACUCCAGGGGGCGAUGUUCCCAUGACGUUUGUUUGAUGGUUAAACGGCAAGCCCAAAGAGGAGGAGAAGAAGAACACUUGCGUAAAUGGCGUAAACUAUCCUUAAUGCUGAAACGUUAGUUGUCAGAAUUUCAGCAUUAAAUUGAUUUCCAGAAUAUGUGUGUUAAGAUUGUAUAUAUCUGCGCUCUUACUCUGUGUAGCUUUGUUGUAGAGGUUGGAUGUUGUAGCGCAUGUUCUCCACUUGGGGCGCUCUGGUGCUGUGUAGUGUUUAACACCGCAGCCAGGCACGUGCACACAUAGGGCCCUAUGGGUGCUUGAGCCCCUGCCCUUUUUUGCCUCGUCUUAAAAAGUGCCCUCUGCCUGUGUGUGUGUGUGUGUGUUUUUUUUCUUUUUCUUCAAACAACAUUAAUAAAUUCCUGUCAGGGAUGUAAAAAAAACCCACAAAAAAACAGCGGUACAAAAACUCCACGUUUUCUUAUAAUACCGGGUUGUUUGAGCCUGCCGCUUCCGCCAGAGAGAGAGAGAGAGGGCGAUUGAGUGAGUAAGUGAGAGGAGAGAGAGUCAGUACUGAGGAGACGUGACAGUGGAGCAACUUGAACCUGUGAGCAGAGCGGCCCAAGGCAUAAGCGUACUAAGCGCUUGCUUAGGGCCCCGCGGCCACCAGGGGGCCCCCAAAAGCAAUUAACAAAAAUUUCUUAUUUUUUAUUUUUUGCAUGUACGAGUCUGACUGAUGAUUUCUAAAUGAUCAAAGAUAUAUUAUUGUACAAAAACACAAUUUUAGGUCAACAGAGUGCUGCUGCUGAUCUAGGCCUAGUGAUUCUUCCUGCCUCUCUUUAAAUGUAAAACUGCCUCUGCUGCACCUGUGACGUUUGCCGCCCGCCGUGCAAUGCCAGUGCGCACUGGGCAUCAAAAGCGCAGAUAGAGGCAAAACAAUGUCACAAAAAAGGACAUAUCCUUCAGGUGCAGAAAAAAGGAAGAAGAAGAAAGUGGAAGAGGAGAAAAAAUGCCAUGAUAAAGGUAUGUUUGCAUGACUUGGUAAUAAAAAGUUUAUCAAAGAGAUUUGUAGCUGUAAUUAGCUUUAGCUAGGUGACGUUAGCUAGCUAGCAAUAUGUUUUUAGCAUCAGGUGCUAGCAAUAUGUUUUUAGCAUCAGGUUACUAGUGAGAUAUGUUGUUUGCACAAAUUGUUUGCAGCAGAGCACGGUAAUUUAUUUGAGUAAAAUAAACAUAAUUUUUUUACAUCAACUCAUAAGUUAUGUGAAACUUCCCCAGGAGCAUUGUUAAAAUACUUUGGAGGCACAGAAUCAGCCAAGAGCCAGUCCACAUCCUCAGGCUCAACUGUGAGUGAUGAAUCAGGUCCAUCUCCAUCCUCUACAGUGCUAUCUCACACACCUCCACCCUCUGUGCCCACUGUCCCCUCCAUGUCUGAAACCACAGCUGAUUUAUCUACAACUUCCACCACAACGUCCCCUUCACACCAUGGACCAUCAUCAGCUCCGCCAGUUGACCCAGCUGAGUGGCCUUCUUUCCUCUCAGAUUCAGACAGGACUGAGCAGCACAAUGCCAAAAAAAAAGAAAGGAUACAGAAAAGGAAGGAGAAGGAGCGCCAGGAAGCAGCUAAGGGUAGCAGACCUCUUAAUGCAUGGCUAAAACCAAGUACUGCACCAGAAUUCAAGAAAGACCACAGACCUCAGAAAGUGUCACACCUGAGAUGUUGCACUGUUCAAUGUUCAAUAUUAAAGUGCUUAUCUUUAACAAUAAAUAGCCUAAUAAUAAA